rnacentral:rRNA from 1 species
UAAUACGGAGGGAGCAAGCGUUGUUCGGAAUUACUGGGUGUAAAGGGGGCGCAGGUGGCCCGUCAAGUUUCGGGUAAAAUCCUUGGGCUCAACUCAAGAAUUGCCCGGAAAACUGGCGGGAUUGAGCAUAGGAGAGAGGGCGGAACUCCCAGUGUAGCGGUGGAAUGCGUAGAUAUUGGGGGGAACACCAGUGGCGAAGGCGGCCCUCUGGACUAUUGCUGACACUCAUGCCCGAAAGCCAGGGGAGCAAACAGGAUUAGAUACCCUGGUAGUCCUGGCCCUAAACGAUGUGAGCUAGGUGUCCCGGAGUACAUUCUGGGGUGCCGCAGCUAACGCAAUAAGCUCACCACCUGGGGAGUACGGUCGCAAGGCUG